UUCGAUAUAAAAGCGCCGGAACUCAUUUUGAGUUGACGAGGUCAGGGUUUAUCGAUUUUUCGGCGGGUGCCCUGCGGCAUACGGCUGCCGACAAAGGUUCCACAAAAGCAAAAAGCGAUUUUUGCUACAAACGGGACUGGGCCAAAAU
rnacentral:ncRNA from 2 species